UCCAGUCUAGAUCACAAUCACAACACAAAACCAAGAGCGACCACCUGUAUUGGAUGACCAUGGCAAAGUAUGCACAUAUGUUUUCCAUCCUUAUGGUCCUUGUUCUACGCGCCAGCUUCCAAGCCCAAGGACAACUAUGACCGACGGAGCCAUACAACUUCACAGAGUACAUCCCACUGGAGUUCACAAAGACUUUUUUCCAGCCCCACCGACUACAUCCCUCUGAUACAUCUAUUGCGUUUAAACAGUGUAGGCAGUGUCCCUGUGGCCCAAAGGAUCCCAAGAAACCAUGUGUUCUAGCACCAAGCUGUUGCUAUCAGAUAAACUGCAAUGAUCCUGGAAAACCACUUGGUACUUGUAUUGAACGUGCGAUCUCCUGUAAUUGUGACAAUAGUUGCAAGUGAUCAAGUGUUUCCCUUCAAAAAACUGUUUCUGUUUUCCCGCAAAAAAAAACUGUUUUUAGUUAGCUAUGAAGAAGCAAGAUGGAUUACAUUGACCCAAAACCAGUCAAGCAGAUCAGGUUACGUAGCAACCAAAACAAACAGAUUUUAACGGCGACUCCGCUCUCCGCGGGCCUCAUGUUCGUUGGGUAGUGGUUAGAUUCGCCGGAUCUGCUGCAUAGUUCGUUUUUGGCUAUAUAGUCUAGGUUAGAUUGGGUUUGGCUGACCGUCAUGCCUUCUCCGACGGCGAUGGCGGUGGCCGUCAAUAAGGGUGCCUCGGAUCUAUCCCUCACGCUUUGGUCUUCGGAGCAGUGGGUGACAGAUCUUGGAGCUACAGUCCGCUCGCGAUUCAUGUGUGGCCGGCGAGAACUUGGUGGUAGGGCUCGGUUGGCGAGGCGGUGGAUCUGGCGGCUCGGUCGGCGAGGCGGCGGCAGAGUCCGAACUCUUGUCCUUUGUCCAUCGGGCAUGUCUCCGUCUUAGCUGUGUCUCCUCCAACACAACUCGAGGGCAUGGGAGGAUGGUUAGGGGGUGAAUUGUCCGAUGUUGGCUCCCUCCUUGGAUGGUGGCAGCGCGGGCGACCCCUGGGACAUGGUGGCCUCGUAUCAGGGUUUGUGGAAGAAGGCGAGCAUAUCUGAUCCCCUUCUUCGACGGCAUCGAGCUGAGUCGGCGAAUCUACAAUCCGACGAGCAUGGGGAUGUUCCCCGACCGACGUGCUGCAGAGGUUCGGCCUUGUCGUUCUAUGGAUCAGUUCACAACGCUACUUCAGCUGGAGAGAGAGCUCCUCUGACGUACGGCACCUGCCGUUGGGCCGCUGUCAGGGGGGCCAAGUUCCAGCCAGGCCGACGUGCCAGUGAUGGAACGACACCCUGCCGUACGUCAGGGGAUCCUCGUCCACUUCAGCUAUGGUGCUUGGCGGAUCAGGUUUGUGGGGUUGCUCGCUUUUCCUAUCGCCGACGGUGCUUCAGCGACGACUGUGGUCAGCAACGAGCGAAGAUGACGAUGGAUGCAGUUUCUUUGGAGGUCUUUUGUGCAAUUGUACGGGGACACCUGUGUUCCUUGGUCCUUUUUAUGAAUUUUGCGUGUACAUGAUGUGUAUGCUAUUUGCAAUAAACACGUAGUUGUUCCUAAAAAAAA